AGCUGCGGAACACCCCGCCCUCCAGGGUUGGGGAGGAGGGAGGGUCCCCGCCCCCCACACACCAAGAAGAGAGAUGGGCCAACUGGAGGCCGAGGACCCCGCCACGUGAGUCAUGAAGGCAGCGUCCCUCCCGCCAGCAAGAAAACGCUGGCUCUUCGUCAAGACAGAAAAGGAAAAUGAAGGAAAACCGCACACUUGUCCAACCCUCCACCUUGCAGGCAGGCCCUUUGCCACCGGAUGUGGCCCCCGUCAGACAUGGCUCCGUGGGACACAGGCCUGCCCAGGCCCACCCGGCUAGCUUCAUCUACCACCCGGUUGCCAAGAGAGGCGCUCUCCCCAUCUGACGGAGGAGACACCGAACCUGGGGUCUCCCUGCACCCAAUCCCCCUAUGACAACCCACAGUGGCUGCUGCUACAGGCCAGAUCCUUCUAUGCCCAGGCCUGACCCCAAGGGGAGUGGAGGCAUUGGAACCCUGGUCAUCGGGCAGCCUGGGGUCAAAAUU
rnacentral:lncRNA from 1 species